rnacentral:rRNA from 1 species
AUGCACUUUCUUCCCCGUCUUCCACUCUUCUUCCUCCUCUCUUCUUCUUCCUCCUCUCUUCUUCUUCCUCCUCUCUUCCCCAUCGUCGGCCGCACACCAUUUACCCCCGCUCACUGCUCGCCCGCCCGCGCCAUCUUCCUUGCAGACGCAAAUGCGCUGGCCUUCAUGAUUCCAGGACCUGGAAUCAUACCAGCCGAUGGCACGACCCUCCUUUGUUGGAUAUUAUGUACUGUUGUUAGUUUGAAGCACUCCUCUGGUUUGAAGGAUGGAUACCUUCCUGGGAUCAAGUGCAUCCUAACUCACCUGCUACCAUAUAACUGGAAUUACCUAUGCAAGUCGAAGAAGGAUUGGCCGGUGCUACCGGCUGGCGUCAAGUUCAAUCCCAUGGAUCAGGAGCUGAUCGAGCACCUUGAGGCCAAAGUGAGUGCUGACAACGCGAGAUUUCAGUCUCUCAUCGAUUUGUUCAUGGCAACCAUUGACAGCGAGCACGGCAUAUGCUACACCCAACCUGAGAAACUUCCAGGUAUCACACUGAGUGGCGUAAGGAAGCAUUUCUUCCAGCGCAAUUCCAGGGCGUUCAAAAGGGGCACGUGGAUGCGUCGCAAGAUACAUUCGGAGUGCGGCAUGCACGCGAUGUGGCACAAGACCGAUAAUACCUUGCCGGUGAUGGUCAACGGCCGGCAAGACGGGCAGCAAAAAAGGUUCUGGUGCUGCACACCAACUAGAACUUCGACCAGCAGAGGACCAACUGGGUGA